rnacentral:rRNA from 1 species
CAGUCGUACCUUCGGGUAAUCAGCCUUUUGGGUGUGAUUUUGUGGAGCGUGAGGAGUUAAACGCCUUCAUGCCCGCAUAUUCGUGCACUUUGGGUGUACUUGCCAGUGUGGUUGGUUAACAUCAAUUUUGGUUAUCAUAAAAUGACUGGAGGAAUGUAGCUUCGAUCUCGUAUUGAAGUGUUAUAGCCUUCGGUAGAUGUGAUGAUCGAGAUUGAGGAUUGCAACGGAUACCCUUCGGGGCUACCUGUCUGGUCUCUGAUCGUUGCUCUGGUGCCGAAAGCUUGCUUACGGUUAUCAAAGUCGAUGGUCAAUAGGUUAGAACGGGUUAAA